CUACUCGAGGGGUCGUUUGGUCUUGUACCCUGUCUGUAGCCACCUUUCGGGCUGGAACGCUGAGCAUGGGCCACUUUCUAGAGGGUCUUUGUGACCCAGCACAGGGCACUGGAGAGAGUAGGACCCACUUCCACGUUCCUGUAUGAGCCGUGACCCCGCCAGUAAUAGGGCAGCCCGCCAAGCGCUCUCCGCGGCGUCGGCGCAGCCCAGCUGUUCGUCCCCGCGACUCCGGGAGGCGGCGCCCUGGCUCUACUCAGCGGGCACUGAGAUCCCAGAUCACACCGGGCCCCAGGGCGGUGCGGGCACCAGUGAGUAGAGGGUUCCCAGGCCCACCUGCGCUGGAGUCGCCGUUCACACGGUUCCACGCUCUGUGGUAGAUGGAAUCCCGGGACUCUGCGCCGUUCCAUCUUAGUGCUCUUGGAUUUAGAGUUCCUGGGAGAAUGGAGUAUGGGAACAGCAGAUCUAAUUAUUUUACUUCCAACCCAGGGUUCUGAAGUUAUUUCAGAGGUUGUAAGGAGAGGACACCAUUUCUCGCUGUAAGGUUGAGUUUGUCGCUUCGCAGCCCUUGGCCUCAGUUCUCUCGGGUCUAAAACUGGAAUAUUAACUAUUGUUCUCUCUGGGUUGAGGGAACUGGAUAGGGUAUAGUGUGACGUGCGUCCCUGAGUGUUCGGCACGGCCGAGAAUAUUAUUCUAGAUAUGGUUUCUGGAAAAGGAUUCCCAUGAUGCUAUCACCUUAGGCUCAUUCACGGAGAGUCUGACCCUUAGGCAUCCCUGCCUCAGGUCUUGACCCAGCUGAAAGUUGGGAAAGAGGAUGAAAGCCUGGAGAACAGAGGCAUUUGUAUCAUUUAAAGAUGUGGCCAUGACCUUCACUAGGGAGGAGUGGAGACAUCUGGACCUGUACCAGAAGAGCUUAUACCAGGAAGUGAUGCUGGAGACUUGUAGUCUCCUGGUCUCAGUAGGGCAGCCUGUUCCCAAACUAGAGCUGAUCUACCUCCUAGAGCAUGGGCAAGGACUAUGGACAAUGAAGAAAGUCCUCUCUCUCUAGAAGCACCUAUACAGGUCCCGAUUUGAUUGCUAUCAACUUCAACUGAUCUACCCAACUGUGG